UGGGGAAUAUUGCACAAUGGGCGCAAGCCUGAUGCAGCCAUGCCGCGUGUGUGAAGAAGGCCUUCGGGUUGUAAAGCACUUUCAGCGGGGAGGAAGGCGUUAAGGUUAAUAACCUUGGCGAUUGACGUUACCCGCAGAAGAAGCACCGGCUAACUCCGUGCCAGCAGCCGCGGUAAUACGGAGGGUGCAAGCGUUAAUCGGAAUUACUGGGCGUAAAGCGCACGCAGGCGGUCUGUCAAGACGGAUGUGAAAUCCCCGGGCUCAACCUGGGAACUGCAUUCGAAACUGGCAGGCUAGAGUCUUGUAGAGGGGGGUAGAAUUCCAGGUGUAGCGGUGAAAUGCGUAGAGAUCGGGAGGCAUACCGGUGGCGAAGGCGGCCCCCUGGACAAAGAAUGACGCUCAGGUGCGAAAGCGUGGGGAGCAAACAGG
rnacentral:rRNA from 1 species